CCUACGGGGGGCAGCAGUGAGGAAUAUUGGUCAAUGGACGAGAGUCUGAACCAGCCAAGUAGCGUGAAGGAUGACUGCCCUAUGGGUUGUAAACUUCUUUUAUAUGGGAAUAAAACGUUCCACGUGUGGGAUUUUGUAUGUACCAUAUGAAUAAGGAUCGGCUAACUCCGUGCCAGCAGCCGCGGUAAUACGGAGGAUCCGAGCGUUAUCCGGAUUUAUUGGGUUUAAAGGGAGCGUAGGUGGAUUGUUAAGUCAGUUGUGAAAGUUUGCGGCUCAACGGUAAAAUUGCAGUUGAAACUGGCAGUCUUGAGUACAGUAGAGGUGGGCGGAAGUCGUGGUGUAGCGGUGAAAUGCUUAGAUAUCACGAAGAACUCCGAUUGCGAAGGCAGUUCACUGGACUGCAACUGACACUGAGGCUCGAAAGUGUGGGUAUCAAACAGGAUUAGAUACCCUUGUAGUC
rnacentral:rRNA from 1 species